CCCCCUGUGGCUCAGUUGGUAGAGCAUGGUGUUUGCAACGCCAGCAUGGUGUGUGCAACGCCAGGGUUGUGGGUUCGAUUCCCACGGGGGGC
rfam:Salmo salar isolate Sally breed double haploid chromosome ssa09, whole genome shotgun sequence.